CCUCUGAUUGAUGAAGAAAUUAUCUCUUAUAUUCUCGCAGGCCUAGAUGCAAAUUAUGGCCCUCUUGUGACAUCUGUGACCACACGGGCUGGACCAAUGACCCUUAACGAUCUCUUUGGCAUCUGAUGAGUCAUGAGA